UGGUUAAUUCGUGGGGUCAAUGGCUACAGGCUGAAAUUUCAGGGGGACAGAAAUCAGGAUAGCAUAUUUCUAAAUUCUAAUCUUACGAAAAACUAGGAAAGAUCUUGUUUACAGUGCUCAAAAUUUGCUUCAAAUUUCUUUUAAAAAAAUUAAAUCUAGAACCUAAGGUUAAAAAAAAAAAACUUCCCUGUGCCCCGUGCCCCCGGCGGCACUGUGGAAGUGAGGAUCCAAAUUCCAAUCCUAGGUAGCGGCAGCCAACGGAACCCGAAACUUUUCCCCAAUUCCGAAGCAAAAUUCGAGCAAAGAAUCGGUCGGUCUGGCGAUGGAGCCUCCCGCCGGAGACGCCGCGCCGUCGUCGCUCAUCUUCCUGGGCACCGGCUGCUCCACCGUACCGUCGUCCCGGACACCAGGUGCCUCAUCAGGCCCUCUCCCUCCCGCCCCACCGAAACCCCAAUUACAGGUGCACGCAGUCACUCGCCCUUAAAGAGUUGGAUCUCUUUUUUUUUUUUUUUCGUUCCAUUGAUAAGACGGAUUGUCGACCAGCUCGCCCGCGAGGUUUGCAUCAGAAUGCAGAUCAUCAUAUGUUUCACUCUUUUCAGUGUUGUGCUGCAACCUGUGCUGCCUUUAACCUUGUAUCCUAUACUUGGUUACUUUCAACAGCCUGAAUCUUAAGUGUCAAUUUAAGGGCUCCUUUGAUUCAAAGGAUUGGCAUAGGACUUUUGUAGGAUUUAUAAUCCUAUGGAUUUUUUCCUAUGUAUGUCUUUGAUUCAUAGAAAAUGAAAGGAAACAUUCCUUAGGAUUGCAUUCCUUUAGUUCAUUUUCACAGGAAAAUAAGAAAGAUGUCUGACCUCUUUGGAAACUUUCCUGGCGCGAAAGAAGGGCGCGCCCACGCGUGCGCACGUCGUCGUUGGCGCCACUUUUGUGUGUUUGGCGGUAAACCGUGGCCCUUCGCGCUUCUUCCAGAAAAAAAGAGAGAGAGAGAAAGAUGGGAACGAGAACACCGAGGACCACAUAUUAGCAGCCAAGAAAGCCAACUGUGAUAGAGAUAGACAGCAGCUUGAGCCGGCCGCUGGGGGUGCAAGGCGGAGGCGAGGCUCGCCGGCUCAGUCGCGUAUGUGGCUUCCGCUGGGGACGCCGGCCCAACAACUAGCAGCACGCAACAACCAAGCACAGCAUCCAUCUGGCGCGCAGGUUGGGCUCCGCUAGGCGGAGGCGUGCGGCAGGUCCGCCAUCGAGGGCAGCAGCCAGGGCCAUCGAUUUGGAAAGCAAUGCCAUCGAAAGGCUCUUCUCAGAUGACCAUGACAAAUCAACGCAAUUUGUCCGAUCGACGAGCCCAGCAACCUCUAUCACAGGUUUAUGUUGAUGUUGACAGUGAGCAUGGGACUGCAGAGCGUCAAGAAAUAGGGACGACAAAGAGAGCCAGAUGGAGUCACCAGAUGAAGAUGUUCCUUAUUGAGCUCCUAACAGAUCAUGACGUGCCAGGUUUUCGAACACAAAAUGCUUGGAGUAAGGAAGCAUGGACAAAUAUUGUUUGCCGCCUGAAUACAAAAUUCGGUACAUCAUUUACGACCAACCAAGUCAAGCAAAAGGAGCAGGAUUUGAAGAAAGAUUAUCGCAGUGUUAAAGAUUUGUUGGAUCAAAGUGGUUUUGGGUGGGAUAGUGACAGAAUGAUGGUGAGUGCACCACAAAGUGUUUGGGACACUUUUGCUGAUCGCAAGAACAAAGAUGCAAUUCAUUGGCGAGAUAAGUCGUUCCCAUAUUUUGAUGAUUUAGCUCCACUUUAUGAUGGUCGUUAUGCUGAAGGGAGAACUCGCCAUGGUAUGGACCAUUAUGCAAGGAAGACAAAGAAUGCACCAGCUCAUUCAACACAAGAAGCAAAUGCGGUUGAUACAUAUCAGUCACCAUCCCCUAAUUCAAAUGCUCCAGGUGAAUCAGGUUUGCAAUUUCCUUUUGGUGAAGAGGUUGAGACAGCCAAUUUGGACUUUUCACAGCAUUCACCUACCCCUGUCCAUCUCACAAAAGUCCCACCUAGCUCGGCACAAACACCUUCAGAGGUUCCUGAAUCUCGACCUGGGAAGAAACAAAAGAUCAAAUCUGUUAGUCCUGAUGAUGGAUUUCAUGAGAGAUACCUAAAACUUAAAAAAGAAGAAAUAGAUCGAUUUGCUGCAAUUGAGGAGAAGAAAUUGGAGGAUCCUUACAGCAUCAACAAGUGUAUCACAGUGCUUGAAGGUUUACAUGGUCUACAAAUAGGAGAUAUAUUGGUGGCAGCUGAUAUCUUCAAAGGUGUAACACCUCCCUAUUUAUAUAUUACUGCGACAACGAUGGAACCCAUAGGUACAUUUUUUUUGACGCAAGAACCCAUAAGUACAUUAUAAUUGAUGUUGGCAAGACCUUUAGAGAGCAGGUUCUCCGGUGGUUUGUUUGUCACAAGAUCCCUUGGGUUAACUCGGUGAGAUCUCCAACACUGCAUUGUUCAUUGUUUCAAUCUAUUUUCCUUUGGAAUUUAUGCCUAAGUAAAAAAAAGCUUUGUUGGCAAGAGCCAACUGCAACAAGUUGUCACUCUUUGUGAGUGGUUAUAGGAAGUAGCACUAGAUGCAAUGCAAUCAGACCGAAUUUAAUGGUGUCGGGAAGGUGGAAUUUCUAUCACAGUUCUUGUGAUACUAGCACAUAACUAAAUCCUUACAGCCAACAACCUUCUCAAAUGUGGUUGGCCGCACUCCAAUCUGUGAGCUGUGUAGAAGCAUGGCUGAGAUGUCGGCUCACAUAGCCAAAUUCUGUUCUUUCAGUCCUACAGUUUCUGGUAACACUGCUGGUUACAAAUCGGUAAACUUCCCUUGAAUUGUGGAAAGAGGCCACAAGUGCAAUGUCUUAGAAAGACCAUGGAGAUUUCAAUGGUCUCAUAUCCAUACUUGGUUGAGCAUUUGGAAGGAACAGAAUCACAGGUUUUCAAGGAAAAUACUUGAACUUCGAGGAAGCGGUCUCUGGGAGGGAUGCCAUGUAGGAUCCAGGGUGAUCUAGAGCAGAGGGAAAGGAGAGAAGGUGGUCAUCUGUUUGUCAUCUUAUAGGUAGCAUUAUACAAUAUAUACCGUUACAUGGAUUGUAUAUAAAAUCAAAUAACUAAUUUAUAAAUUCACUAUGUUGAUGGCGUUUGGAUGAUGAUCAAUCCUUAUAGAUGUCAUGACUAAUAAGGCCCUGUGCAGUGCAGAUUAUUCUUACUCACGAACACGCGGAUGCUAUCCUAGGUCUUGACGAUGUUUGGAUGAUUCGACCAAGUGAUGGAAGAAAUGAUUUUGGCCAAGUUCCUGUUUUCCUCACACAAUUCACAAUGGACAGCAAGAUUCCCCUACUUAGUGAAAUAUAAGCUAGAGGAAGGUGAUGAAGCUUCCCAAGUUGCUCAACUCGAUUGGAGAAUAAUUGAGGGUGAUAUUGAAAAACCAUUUAUAUCAUCGGGGCUAGAGUUUGUGCCCUUGCCAGUGAGAGCCACUGUUGUGAAUUGAUGCACUGCUUUGGUUUCUCUAUGUGUUGUCUUUGAAGUCGCUAGCGUGCUAUUCCCUUUUCAGGUCAUGCAUGGAGAGGGUUAUGUUUGUUUAGGCUUCCUAUUUGGGAGGAAAGCGAGAAUUGCAUAUUUAUCCGACAUCUUGAGAUUUUUACCUAAAACUGAGCAUGGUAUGAUUUUUCUGACAUCAAUAGUUCUUCAAAUAGUAAAAUGCUUGUUUUUGUUUAAAGAAAUGAUCUUUAUCAAACAUAUUAUGUCACUAUCUUUGAGGGUCGUUUGUGUGAUCAUCAAAAUAUAUCAGAAUACUGAAUAUCAAGAUAAUUUGCAGGUUGUUUCUAUUCUUCCUAAACCAACUUCUCAAUUUUUGUCAGCUCAAUAGAUUUCAUAUGUUUUUGCAAUUGGCAACAUUUAACUAUGUCCGGCAGCAAAAUUAUCUUAAAUCUUUAAAGGAUUUGUUGUUAUUUAAGCUUAUCAAAUUUAGUAAUAUCUGUAUCAAUAUUUUUUUUUGGCGAUGAACUAUAAUCACAUCGGCGAUGAACUAGCAUUAACAUGACUAAAAAUCACAUGUAAUCUGUAGAUAUUCUUUUGUAGUUGGGCUGUAUUGAAUCCUAUUUGAUUGUUCCAAUUUUACUGGAGAAUAGAGGAUGCCAUUUUUUCAUGCAGCCAUUUCAAAGUCUGGUGCUGGGCAACUUGAUCUUCUUAUACUAGAAGCUAACAGUUUGCAUGGGGAGGUAGGUCUGUGCCACAUGAUUGUCAUUUGAAACAGCAUAAUUUGAUAUCCUUUCACACAUAUCUGCCGAUAAUCUGGUAUACACUUUACCCUCUGUGAACAGGGAGGUGCUCGUAGUAACCAUCUUCCUCUGAAUGAGGUUGAAUUUGUUAAGACCUUUUAAAUAUUUUUCUGAUUUUUUUUUUUGCAGUAACUAGGUAGAUAAUUUGUUGACAUACAAUCUGCCUGCUCUCCAUGAAAGCACCCUACAGAACAGGAUAGCUCAAACAAAGCAAUAUUGGCCUAGUCCCUAUCAGAAUUAUAUCCAUACCUGUCAAGAUGGAGCAACCAACCCAACAUUUUCUCCCAACAUUAUUUUUUUUUCAGGCUCUUGAUGCUGUGAAGAGGAUAAGCCCUAAGAGAGCUUUGCUGACUGGAAUGGCACAUGAGAUCGAAUACUACAAAGAAAAUCAGAAGCUGGCAGAAUGGUCUAGCAGAGAAGGGAUACCUGUACAAUUAGCUCAUGACGGCCUCCGCGUGUUUAUUAACCUGUAAUUUGAUGUCAAGUUGUCUCCUGCCUCUAGUAGGGGAAUUGUUGUAUGAAUAUACCCGAAAAAGCUGAAUCUGAUAUAUGUACGUCCCUUUCUCUUUUACUUAAAUCACACGAUUCAAAAAUGUAAACUAGGAAAAUAAUGUAAAAAACAUAUAUUUAUUGCAUUCAUCUAGACUUUGGAGCUAGUAGUAAAUGUGAAUGAUUCAAACCACGCAUUCUGUAAAAAGGAGAAAAGAAUGAUGGAUGCAAAGGUUUGUCUUGGCAGUGAAUGGGAAGAAACUUUCUUUUAUGUAUAUGUACAUAAGGAAGUCCACCGUUGUCAUUCAUUUGGAACU